UCGAGCGGCAGCGGAAGUAGCUUGCUACUUUGCCGGCGAGCGGCGGACGGGUGAGUAAUGUCUGGGAAACUGCCUGAUGGAGGGGGAUAACUACUGGAAACGGUAGCUAAUACCGCAUGACCUCGAAAGAGCAAAGUGGGGGAUCUUCGGACCUCACGCCAUCGGAUGUGCCCAGAUGGGAUUAGCUAGUAGGUGAGGUAAUGGCUCACCUAGGCGACGAUCCCUAGCUGGUCUGAGAGGAUGACCAGCCACACUGGAACUGAGACACGGUCCAGACUCCUACGGGAGGCAGCAGUGGGGAAUAUUGCACAAUGGGCGCAAGCCUGAUGCAGCCAUGCCGCGUGUGUGAAGAAGGCCUUAGGGUUGUAAAGCACUUUCAGCGAGGAGGAAGGCAUCAUACUUAAUACGUGUGGUGAUUGACGUUACUCGCAGAAGAAGCACCGGCUAACUCCGUGCCAGCAGCCGCGGUAAUACGGAGGGUGCAAGCGUUAAUCGGAAUUACUGGGCGUAAAGCGCACGCAGGCGGUUUGUUAAGUCAGAUGUGAAAUCCCCGCGCUUAACGUGGGAACUGCAUUUGAAACUGGCAAGCUAGAGUCUUGUAGAGGGGGGUAGAAUUCCAGGUGUAGCGGUGAAAUGCGUAGAGAUCUGGAGGAAUACCGGUGGCGAAGGCGGCCCCUGGACAAAGACUGACGCUC
rnacentral:rRNA from 1 species